UACGGGGGGGAGCAAGCGUUGUUCGGAUUUACUGGGCGUAAAGGGCGCGUAGGCGGUCGUGACAAGUCACUUGUGAAAUCUCCGGGCUUAACUCGGAACGGUCAAGUGAUACUGUCGGACUAGAGUACAGAAGGGGCAACUGGAAUUCUCGGUGUAGCGGUGAAAUGCGUAGAUAUCAGGAGGAACACCGGUGGCGAAGGCGGGAUCCUGGGCCAGUACUGACGCUGAGGAGCGAAAGCGUGGGGAGCAAACAGG
rnacentral:rRNA from 1 species